AUUGAACGCUGGCGGCAUGCCUUACACAUGCAAGUCGAACGGUAACGGGCCUUCGGGUGCCGACGAGUGGCGGACGGGUGCGUAAUACAUCGGAACGUGCCCGAUCGUGGGGGUUAACGGGGCGAAAGCUUUGCUAAUACCGCAUACGAUCUAAGACUGACAGCAGGGGACCGCAAGGCCUUGUGCGGACGGAGCGGCCGAUGGCAGAUUAGGUAGUUGGUGGGAUAAAAGCUUACCAAGCCGACGAUCUGUAGCUGGUCUGAGAGGAUGAUCAGCCACACUGGGACUGAGACACGGCCCAGACUCCUACGGGAGGCAGCAGUGGGGAAUUUUGGACAAUGGGCGCAAGCCUGAUCCAGCCAUGCCGCGUGCAGGAUGAAGGCCUUCGGGUUGUAAACUGCUUUUGUACGGAAAGAAAAGCCUUCUUUUAAUACAGGAGGGUCAUGACGGUACCGUAAGAAUAAGCACCGGCUAACUACGUG
rnacentral:rRNA from 1 species